CAUGAAUUACAUCUUAAAAUUUCAAGGACACUGAUUGGACUGUUGAGUUACUAUUUGAAUAGUUAAAUUUGCAAUCAGUAUCAAGAUAUUUCCCUCAGUCAAUGUUAAAAUAUAUUUUUUAAAUUACUUAGACUAAAAUUCUGAGGACAAAGAAGUCAGUGGGUAUUUUCACCUACGCCUUCACAUAUCUGAGCUUUUAAAGCUAAAGAGGGACAUGGUUAUUUACUGACCACAAUGUUUUAACACCCUGACUGUUGAUCACUGUUAUCGUCGGCCAAGUUUC
rnacentral:lncRNA from 1 species